GACAGAGGGUGCAAACGUUGUUCGGAAUUACUGGGCGUAAAGCGCGUGUAGGCGGCUCUGCAAGUCGGAUGUGAAAGCCCUCGGCUCAACCGAGGAAGUGCACCCGAAACUGCAGAGCUAGAGUCUCGGAGAGGAUCGUGGAAUUCUCGGUGUAGAGGUGAAAUUCGUAGAUAUCGAGAGGAACACCGGUGGCGAAGGCGGCGACCUGGGUCGAUACUGACGCUGAGGUGCGAAAGCGUGGGGAGCAAACAGG
rnacentral:rRNA from 1 species